rnacentral:rRNA from 1 species
UACGUAGGGGGCGAGCGUUGUCCGGAAUCAUUGGGCGUAAAGCGCGUGUAGGCGGCCCGGUAAGUCCGCUGUGAAAGUCCAGGGCUCAACCCUGGGAUGCCGGUGGAUACUGUCGGGCUCGAGUCCGGAAGAGGCGAGUGGAAUUCCUGGUGUAGCGGUGAAAUGCGCAGAUAUCAGGAGGAACACCAAUGGCGAAGGCAGCCCGCUGGGACGUGACUGACGCUGAGACGCGAAAGCGUGGGGAGCAAACAGG